rnacentral:rRNA from 1 species
CCUGAAUCAGUGUGUGUGUUAGUGGAAGCGUCUGGAAAGGCGUGCGAUACAGGGUGACAGCCCCGUACACAAAAAUGCACAUACUGUGAGCUCGAUGAGUAGGGCGGGACACGUGGUAUCCUGUCUGAAUAUGGGGGGACCAUCCUCCAAGGCUAAAUACUCCUGACUGACCGAUAGUGAACCAGUACCGUGAGGGAAAGGCGAAAAGAACCCCGGCGAGGGGAGUGAAAAAGAACCUGAAACCGUGUACGUACAAGCAGUGGGAGCACGCUUAGGCGUGUGACUGCGUACCUUUUGUAUAAUGGGUCAGCGACUUAUAUUCUGUAGCAAGGUUAACCGAAUAGGGGAGCCGAAGGGAAACCGAGUCUUAACUGGGCGUUAAGUUGCAGGGUAUAGACCCGAAACCCGGUGAUCUAGCCAUGGGCAGGUUGAAGGUUGGGUAACACUAACUGGAGGACCGAACCGACUAAUGUUGAAAAAUUAGCGGAUGACUUGUGGCUGGGGGUGAAAGGCCAAUCAAACCGGGAGAUAGCUGGUUCUCCCCGAAAGCUAUUUAGGUAGCGCCUCGUGAAUUCAUCUCCGGGGGUAGAGCACUGUUUCGGCAAGGGGGUCAUCCCGACUUACCAACCCGAUGCAAACUGCGAAUACCGGAGAAUGUUAUCACGGGAGACACACGGCGGGUGCUAACGUCCGUCGUGAAGAGGGAAACAACCCAGACCGCCAGCUAAGGUCCCAAAGUCAUGGUUAAGUGGGAAACGAUGUGGGAAGGCCCAGACAGCCAGGAUGUUGGCUUAGAAGCAGCCAUCAUUUAAAGAAAGCGUAAUAGCUCACUGGUCGAGUCGGCCUGCGCGGAAGAUGUAACGGGGCUAAACCAUGCACCGAAGCUGCGGCAGCGACGCUUAUGCGUUGUUGGGUAGGGGAGCGUUCUGUAAGCCUGUGAAGGUGUGCUGUGAGGUAUGCUGGAGGUAUCAGAAGUGCGAAUGCUGACAUAAGUAACGAUAAAGCGGGUGAAAAGCCCGCUCGCCGGAAGACCAAGGGUUCCUGUCCAACGUUAAUCGGGGCAGGGUGAGUCGACCCCUAAGGCGAGGCCGAAAGGCGUAGUCGAUGGGAAACAGGUUAAUAUUCCUGUACUUGGUGUUACUGCGAAGGGGGGACGGAGAAGGCUAUGUUGGCCGGGCGACGGUUGUCCCGGUUUAAGCGUGUAGGCUGGUUUUCCAGGCAAAUCCGGAAAAUCAAGGCCGAGGCGUGAUGACGAGGCACUACGGUGCUGAAGCAACAAAUGCCCUGCUUCCAGGAAAAGCCUCUAAGCAUCAGGUAACAUCAAAUCGUACCCCAAACCGACACAGGUGGUCAGGUAGAGAAUACCAAGGCGCUUGAGAGAACUCGGGUGAAGGAACUAGGCAAAAUGGUGCCGUAACUUCGGGAGAAGGCACGCUGAUACGUAGGUGAAGCGACUUGCUCGUGGAGCUGAAAUCAGUCGAAGAUACCAGCUGGCUGCAACUGUUUAUUAAAAACACAGCACUGUGCAAACACGAAAGUGGACGUAUACGGUGUGACGCCUGCCCGGUGCCGGAAGGUUAAUUGAUGGGGUUAGCGCAAGCGAAGCUCUUGAUCGAAGCCCCGGUAAACGGCGGCCGUAACUAUAACGGUCCUAAGGUAGCGAAAUUCCUUGUCGGGUAAGUUCCGACCUGCACGAAUGGCGUAAUGAUGGCCAGGCUGUCUCCACCCGAGACUCAGUGAAAUUGAACUCGCUGUGAAGAUGCAGUGUACCCGCGGCAAGACGGAAAGACCCCGUGAACCUUUACUAUAGCUUGACACUGAACAUUGAGCCUUGAUGUGUAGGAUAGGUGGGAGGCUUUGAAGUGUGGACGCCAGUCUGCAUGGAGCCGACCUUGAAAUACCACCCUUUAAUGUUUGAUGUUCUAACGUGGACCCGUGAUCCGGGUUGCGGACAGUGUCUGGUGGGUAGUUUGACUGGGGCGGUCUCCUCCUAAAGAGUAACGGAGGAGCACGAAGGUUGGCUAAUCCUGGUCGGACAUCAGGAGGUUAGUGCAAUGGCAUAAGCCAGCUUGACUGCGAGCGUGACGGCGCGAGCAGGUGCGAAAGCAGGUCAUAGUGAUCCGGUGGUUCUGAAUGGAAGGGCCAUCGCUCAACGGAUAAAAGGUACUCCGGGGAUAACAGGCUGAUACCGCCCAAGAGUUCAUAUCGACGGCGGUGUUUGGCACCUCGAUGUCGGCUCAUCACAUCCUGGGGCUGAAGUAGGUCCCAAGGGUAUGGCUGUUCGCCAUUUAAAGUGGUACGCGAGCUGGGUUUAGAACGUCGUGAGACAGUUCGGUCCCUAUCUGCCGUGGGCGCUGGAGAACUGAGGGGGGCUGCUCCUAGUACGAGAGGACCGGAGUGGACGCAUCACUGGUGUUCGGGUUGUCAUGCCAAUGGCACUGCCCGGUAGCUAAAUGCGGAAGAGAUAAGUGCUGAAAGCAUCUAAGCACGAAACUUGC